rnacentral:rRNA from 1 species
GAUGAACGCUGGCGGCGUGCCUAAUACAUGCAAGUCGAGCGAACGGACGAGAAGCUUGCUUCUCUGAUGUUAGCGGCGGACGGGAGAGUAACACGUGGAUAACCUACCUAUAAGACUGGGAUAACUUCGGGAAACCGGAGCUAAUACCGGAUAAUAUUUUGAACCGCAUGGUUCAAAAGUGAAAGACGGUCUUGCUGUCACUUAUAGAUGGAUCCGCGCUGCAUUAGCUAGUUGGUAAGGUAACGGCUUACCAAGGCAACGAUGCAUAGCCGACCUGAGAGGGUGAUCGGCCACACUGGAACUGAGACACGGUCCAGACUCCUACGGGAGGCAGCAGUAGGGAAUCUUCCGCGAUGGGCGAAAGCCUGACGGAGCAACGCCGCGUGAGUGAUGAAGGUCUUCGGAUCGUAAAACUCUGUUAUUAGGGAAGAACAUAUGUGUAAGUAACUGUGCACAUCUUGACGGUACCUAAUCAGAAAGCCACGGCUAACUACGUG